rnacentral:lncRNA from 1 species
UGAGUUCAAUAAUCAACAGAUGUUGAGAAGCAAACGGUGAGCUAGAUCAAACUUUUGGGUAUCACUAUGAGCAGAAAAAUCACAGCUUGAGGGAUAUAAAAGGAGCAAUCCUUACCACAAGCCUGAAUAUUCAAUCUCCAUUCUCCCAUAUCACCACAAAUUCACAAAAACACUUCCACAACGACUCCUUAAUCUCAAGCAAACAACAGCCAAGCUCCACGAAUCAAGAUUCAGGCAUUCAGCUCUCGGUAAUUUCAGGUCUAAACGAACCCCGCAACAACGAUCGCGGCUGCGGCGAGGCCUAGGAGGAAGUAGCCUGGAACGCCGUCAUAGCUCUUCCAC